CCACUUAAGCUUAGCUUAGAGAGCUUAGUAGUGGGAGCGAGGGGGCUGAUGCGUAGUGAGAGCAUGGAAGGAGCAUGGAGACCAAGAUCCAAAUUUCCUUAUCUCACUCCCACCUGAGCUUAGCUUAGGGAGCUUAGUGGAGCGAGCGAGGGGGCUGGUGCGUAACGAGAGCAUGGAAGGAGCAUGGAGACUUAGAUCCAAAUUUCCUUAUCGCUCAUUGCCCUCUGAGCACAGCGCCGAGCUUAACCUUUUCUGAACUUUUUCGCGGCAAUCGGUUAGUGAACUUUGCGCAUUUUAAUAGUUAAUUUUAAUAAGAUUACAAGUGAUUAAGUGAUAAUGAAUAAUACAAAUAAUUAACAAGGUAAUAAAGACAGCAAGUGGUGAGAAAGUGAAAGAAUAAAGAAAGUGAAAGAAAAAAGUGAACACGUGGAGUUGUGAAAUAGGAAAGAAGAAGAGCAAUUUUUUCAAAUCUCCCGUUAUGUCUUGGAAUUUUUGGCAAUUACGUCUUAAAUCUAUCAAGUGUUUAAUAAAUAAUAAAUAACUAAGCAAGUGCGUUUAUUAAUCAGCUAAAAAAUGUUAAAUAUAAUAGUUAAAUUAUAAGCCAAGGUCAACAAUUCCCCCUUGAAGUUCCUAAGAAAUGGGGGAGAAGAGAAAAGUGCAAGUGGAAUGUGGAAUUUGGAAAUUGGAAAGUGGAAGAAGAAUAGCAUGUCUCUGAUUCUUAUCUCUAGUUGUGAUCUCCGCUUUCAGAAAUUGCGUCUUAAUUUUGUGCAAUUGCGGCGGCUUAAGAAUCUCAAUUACAUAAAUUGAUUUAUUUUAAGAGAAAAACCUUUUAAAAUAAUAACGAGAUAAUUAAAUUGCAAUUAAGAAAGUGAAUCACAAAAGAUAAUCGAUUAAGUGAAGUGCAUAAAGAGGUUAAGAUUGCCUUUUCUUGCCUUUUUCAUUUUUUUUUCGAGUGGAAUAAGGAAGAGGAAGAGAAUAUGAAGUGGAAAGGUGCUUAGGGAGUGGAAUUUAUUUAACGAAGAACAGUGGAAGCAUAAAAUGCUUAAAGAUAUACCGUUAACUGAUGAAUGAAAAAUAAUUGGAGCUUUGGAAAUUGGAAAGGAUGGACCCUGUUUUGAGGCAUAAAAUGCUUAAAAGAACUGCCACUAAUUGGAUAAAAACCGGGCCACCCUAAACAUUUUGGCCGUCAAGUAGAAAUUGAAUGGAAGAAUGGCGGCAAAGGAGGGGAGGUGGGAAAUCAAAAAUCCCGUUACCUAAGCCGCGUAACAAGCAGAGAAUGUCAAUGUAAAUGCAAAUGCAAAUGUUUGCCGUCAUCGAGUCGAGGUCGGAGGUCAAGCCGAAAAUGUUCGGAAUGGCGGGCGUCCAAAAAAAAAACUCAACGUUAAUAAACUCAGAAGAGGGGCGUGGUGUUGGCGGCGGGGUGGGGCAGGCUCGAUUUACAUGAGCAAACAGAAGCGGAGAGAGAGAGCACAUAGCAUGUGAGUCUGGCUCGGGCUCCACUUGCCCAAGUCCCGCUAUUCUCCCGAUGGAAGGAAAUGGAAGGAGUAAUGGAAGUCCCAAUUACGCCGCUAAAAAUGGACGGAGGAUAAGGAAUAAGGAAUAUUCCAUGGAUUUCAAAAUCUUUAAUUUCAUUAAACGGAAAUUGGAUUGGAAAACAUCAAACUUUAUGGAUAUUUAUAUUCCCAAUUACGCCGCUGAAAAUGGAUGGAGGAUAAGGAAUAAGGAAUAUUCCAUGGAUUUCAAAAUCGUUAAUUUCAUUAAACGGAAAUCGGAUUGGAAAACAUCAAUCUGUAUGGAUAUUCAUAUAAUUAUUUACAUUUUCUCUAAUAAGCCAGAGAAACAGCUAGAGAGACAUCUGAGGAAUGCCGGAGCUCUGGCAGGAUGUCGGCAUAAAUCAUCGUCCUUGCAGGAGCCUGCCUGCCCCGCCACUAAAUGACUUCAUCGCAAACAAAUAAAAUAUCAAUAACGUCAAAAGUGCAAUAAAUCAUCGGAGCAGCUCCUGCAGCAACGGAAAGCAAAGGAUCUGGAAAUCAGGAGAGUGAAAAUGUGGCAUCAGGAGGAAGGCCGGUGGUCGGUGGUCGACUGCUCGGUCGGGCACAUUUCAUUUGAUGCCGAAAUGGAAAAUGGAAAAUGGAAAAUGCAAAUUGUUUGCUUGUCGCACAAAAGAAUGCACAAAUGGCAACGGAAAAGUGCGCAAAAAAUGUGAGGGGAAUCAAAAAACUGUUCCAUCUCUAGAGGAUGGCUAUCACAGCUGCGAUUAAUCGAUUACUAUCGAAUACUAGCCGUACAAUAUGAGGCAGCGCCUCUUUGUAUUUCGGAAUUAUAGCGAAAAAAUGCUUGUAAUUAAGAUUGUAAUUAAAAAAGUUUAAAAAAUAAAUAAAUAUGAAAACAAAUUUAACUUUUGAAGCUUUAAAUA